rnacentral:rRNA from 1 species
CAGUAGCCGCGGGAAUACGGAGGGUGCAAGCGUUGUCCGGAUUUAUUGGGUUUAAAGGGUGCGUAGGCGGCCUAAUAAGUCAGUGGUGAAAGCCUCCAGCUUAACUGGAGAACUGCCAUUGAUACUGUUAGGCUUGAGUAUACUUGAGGUAGGCGGAAUUGACAGUGUAGCGGUGAAAUGCAUAGAUAUUGUCAAGAACACCAAUUGCGAAGGCAGCUUACUAAAUUAUAACUGACGCUGAGGCACGAAAGUGUGGGUAUCAAACAGGAUUAGAUACCCGGGUAGUCCCUGUCUCUUAUAC